GGAUACACCUGUUCCCAUCCCGAACACAGAAGUUAAGCACUUCAACGGCGACAAUAGUUGGGCGUGCCCCUGCGAAGAUAGCAAGCUGCUGGUUU
rnacentral:rRNA from 1 species